rnacentral:rRNA from 1 species
CAUAUCAAUAAGCGGAGGAAAAGAAACUAACAAGGAUUCCCCUAGUAACUGCGAGUGAAGCGGGAAAAGCUCAAAUUUAAAAUCUGGCAGCCUUUGGUUGUCCGAGUUGUAAUCUAGAGAAGUGUUAUCCGCGCUGGACCGUGUACAAGUCUCCUGGAAUGGAGCGUCAUAGAGGGUGAGAAUCCCGUCUUUGACACGGACUGCCAGGGCUUUGUGAUGCGCUCUCAAAGAGUCGAGUUGUUUGGGAAUGCAGCUCAAAAUGGGUGGUAAAUUCCAUCUAAAGCUAAAUAUUGGCGAGAGACCGAUAGCGAACAAGUACCGUGAGGGAAAGAUGAAAAGAACUUUGGAAAGAGAGUUAAACAGUACGUGAAAUUGCUGAAAGGGAAACGCUUGAAGUCAGUCGCGUUGUCCAGGGAUCAACCUUGCUUUUGCUUGGUGCACUUUCUGGUUGACGGGUCAGCAUCAAUUUUGACUAUUGGAAAAAGAUUAGGGGAAUGUGGCAUCUUUGGAUGUGUUAUAGCCCUUAGUUGCAUACAAUGGUUGGGAUUGAGGAACUCAGCACGCCGCAAGGCCGGGUUUUUAACCACGUACGUGCUUAGGAUGCUGGCAUAAUGGCUUUAAUCGACCCGUCUUGAAACACGGACCAAGGAGUCUAACAUGCCUGCGAGUGUUUGGGUGGAAAACCCGAGCGCGUAAUGAAAGUGAAAGUUGAGAUCCCUGUCGUGGGGAGCAUCGACGCCCGGACCAGACCUUUUGUGACGGUUCCGCGGUAGAGCAUGUAUGUUGGGACCCGAAAGAUGGUGAACUAUGCCUGAAUAGGGUGAAGCCAGAGGAAACUCUGGUGGAGGCUCGUAGCGAUUCUGACGUGCAAAUCGAUCGUCAAAUUUGGGUAUAGGGGCGAAAGACUAAUCGAACCAUCUAGUAGCUG